rnacentral:lncRNA from 7 species
GGGGGAGAGGGUGGGAAGGAAAAAUUGGAGGUAGGGUGAGGGAAGGGGGAGGGUUGAAGGGAAAAUAAUGAAACAGAGGAAAAAAGAGAAUAACAAGUAAAAAGCAAUGCAUGUAAAUACAGAGCAAGCAAGUAGGAAAGCUAGGCAUAGCACAGCAAAAGAGAGCAAAGCAAAGAAGGCAAAGAAUGACAAAAAGCAACCUUGCAGGAAUGGAGGAAUCUGUCCAGAGCUGUGCCCCUGCUUGCCACAGGAGCUGCGCGGGAGGAGAAGAACGUGGGCCAAAAGGAGCUGCGCGGGAGGAGAAGAACGUGGGCCAAAAGGUAAGAGGAGCUCCUUUGGGUUCUGGGCUUGAAGCAAAGCUGAGAAGCCAUGCCCGGGAGGAGGUGUGGGUAGCUACAGGCCACCUUGCUAUCUCCCCAAGAGAUGAGGUGUGUGGGCUAGGCACCGGGCAGGAGUGCUGGCCAGAAGCAAGCAUCUCUGUGGAGGAAGGCAAAGGGCGGAGGAGGUUCAAGGGUAGCUACCGGGCAUGGCCUUGCUCAGCAAGGGGAGGAAAAGCCUGA